rnacentral:rRNA from 1 species
UACAGAGGUCUCAAGCGUUGUUCGGAUUCAUUGGGCGUAAAGGGUGCGUAGGUGGCGCGCUAAGUCAGGUGUGAAAUUUCGGAGCUUAACUCCGAAACUGCAUUUGAUACUGGCGUGCUUGAGGACUGGAGAGGAGACUGGAAUUCAUGGUGUAGCAGUGAAAUGCGUAGAGAUCAUGAGGAAGACCAGUGGCGAAGGCGGGUCUCUGGACAGUUCCUGACACUGAGGCGCGAAGGCCAGGGGAGCAAACGGG